rnacentral:rRNA from 1 species
AGUGAACGCUGGCGGUAGGCCUAACACAUGCAAGUCGAACGGCAGCACAGUAAGAGCUUGCUCUUACGGGUGGCGAGUGGCGGACAGGGGAGGAAUACAUCGGAAUUUACUUUUUCGUGGGGGAUAACGAAGGGAAACAUACUCGAAUACCGCAUACGACCUACGGGUGGAAGCAGGGGAUCUUCGGACCUUGCUCGAUUGUAUGAGCCGAUGUCGGAUUAGCUUGUUGGCGGGGUAAGGGCCCACCAAGGCGACGAUCCGUAGCUGGGCUGAGAGGAUGAUCAGCCACACUGGAACUGAGACACGGUCCAGACUCCUACGGGAGGCAGCGGUGGGGAAUAUUGGACAAUGGGCGCAAGCCUGAUCCAGCCAUACCGCGUGGGUGAAGAAGGCCUUCGGGUUGUAAAGCCCUUUUGUUGGGAAAGAAAAGCAGCAGGUUAAUACCCCGCUGUUCUGACGGUACCCAAAGAAUAAGCACCGGCUAACUUCGU